UUGGAAAAGCCACAUAGAGGUCAAACUCUGUCUAGCUAUCCGUCUAUAAAGAAAUCCAGACAGCGUAAUGCAGCAUUUUAUGAACAACAAGUGGAUCUUCUGGGAAUGACAGAAUCCUCCCUACGAAUUAGAAGCAUGGAAGGAUUCGUUACACUUUAACAUGUUUCUUCAGUGACAUGUGCGACCUUGACUUUUAAUUAUUCAAGAGUGGCAAGUAUGGAACCUAAAGUGGAUUGUUGACACAAGAUGCCUGGAAAUAAGGAGAAUUAUGAAAGACAUACUGUUGUUUUAAAUUUCAAACCACAGUUACCUGUGUAACUAAAGAACCUGUAAGUCCCUCAAUAGGAAAAAGUGGAAACUGACCCAGAGGAUGCCAGACAGAAGGAUAUAUCCAAUUGCAGUUCUUACCAGCAUACAGCCCAGAAUCAUUUUUCUAAUUAUUGACUGUGUGUGAAGUUUUCCCCCUUGCGUAACAGCCUGCUGGCCUUGGAACCCAGCCACUCUGUCUCCUGAUGUACUGGCGCUUCCUUUGUCUUAACUUGGAAAGAUCCCACCCAGGGUAUUACAGCCACUUUGUUCUUCUAUCUGUAAGAUAUCAAUAUCACAUCUAUGGUUCCCAAGUACAAUUAAAGCAAGAUUAAGUUUUUAAAAAAUUGGCCAGGUACUGCGGGUCGUGCUUGUAAUCCCAGCA
rnacentral:lncRNA from 1 species